rnacentral:misc_RNA from 1 species
AAGUCGUAACAAGGUUUCCGUAGGUGAACCUGCGGAAGGAUCAUUAACACAAUACUUUCAAUAUCAACCUUGGAGCAUCCGUCUGAGCCUUCAGUUGUUAGAGUGUCGACUAGUCAAUGGUUGGAAUUUUUCGGACUAGCCUGCUUUAAGUUAGCCCGUCUCUCUUCGGAGCGGCGAUGGUUAGCGCUCUACUUCGUAGGUGAUACAGUCUCGACCAUGGCUGGCCCCUUUUUUUUUUUAAACCUUUGACAUUUGUACUGAUUUGGGCUUUUGAAUUGAGAGGAGCAAUCCCUUCUUCAAGCUUUUGAUGGAGUAAUCCAUUAAUUAACCAAAACACAACUCUUAACAGUGGAUAUCUCGGUUCUC